CGUAGGUGGCAAGCGUUGUCCGGAUUUAUUGGGUUUAAAGGGUGCGUAGGUGGCCCUGUAAGUCAGUGGUGAAAUAUCUCAGCUUAACUGAGAGGGUGCCAUUGAUACUGCAGGGCUUGAGUACAGAUGAGGUAGGCGGAAUUGACGGUGUAGCGGUGAAAUGCAUAGAUAUCGUCAAGAACACCGAUAGCGAAGGCAGCUUACCAAGCUGUAACUGACACUGAGGCACGAAAGUGUGGGGAUCAAACAGGAUUAGAUACCCUGGUAGUCCACACUGUAAACGUUGAUGACUCGAUGUUGGCGAUACACAGCCAGCGUCCAAGAGCAAUCGUUAAGUCAUCCACCUGGGGAGUACGCCGGCAACGGUG
rnacentral:rRNA from 1 species